rnacentral:rRNA from 1 species
GAUGAACGCUAGCUACAGGCUUAACACAUGCAAGUCGAAGGGCAGCAUGAACUUAGCUUGCUAAGUUUGAUGGCGACCGGCGCACGGGUGAGUAACACGUAUCCAACCUUCCGUUUACUCAGGGAUAGCCUUUCGAAAGAAAGAUUAAUACCUGAUAGUAUGGUGAGAUUGCAUGAUAACACCAUUAAAGAUUUAUUGGUAAACGAUGGGGAUGCGUUCCAUUAGGUAGUAGGCGGGGUAACGGCCCACCUAGCCUGCGAUGGAUAGGGGUUCUGAGAGGAAGGUCCCCCACAUUGGAACUGAGACACGGUCCAAACUCCUACGGGAGGCAGCAGUGAGGAAUAUUGGUCAAUGGGCGAGAGCCUGAACCAGCCAAGUAGCGUGAAGGAUGAAGGUCCUACGGAUUGUAAACUUCUUUUAUACGGGAAUAAAGUUUCCUACGUGUAGGAUUUUGUAUGUACCGUAUGAAUAAGCAUCGGCUAACUCCGUG